UCUCUGUUGAGGUGUAGGUUGAAUUCC
rnacentral:piRNA from 1 species